UGAUUGGAAUCGCUGGGAGGAUAUGCGGGAAACCCAAUCACCCAGGCAGUUAAUAAAUGUAUUCUUCCCUUUGGGGAAACAUGUUCUCUGUCCUUAUGGAGGCCCAAAGCUUCUGAAAUGCACAUAUAUGUUGUAGUGUUUGUCUGCUGUUACAUUUUAAUAAACGAAUGUGCAAUGAAAAUCUGCUCUGAAGGAUAUGCAUAUACAGCUAUCUAUCUCUCAAGAGAAGGAAAGACAGACAUUCAGCAUGGUCGUCACCCUGCUCACCCUGGCUGGCUCAGCAGAGUACCAUGCAUCUUCAGGGAGUUCCAUGCACUGCUGCAGCAACCAGAAGACCAGGCCAACCUGGAGCUGGAACAGAACUGAAAACAAGAACCCUAACCAUUUAUUGUAAACAACUUUACAGAGGAUAGUAGCUAAGGUGAAUCUCUUCACCUUUGUCCAAAAGAGCUGGAGCUUGCAACAAAACGCCCUGUUCAGUGCUGCUGGUGGUUGAUGAAAAGGGAGAGGAAUCAAAUGAGCUGUGAGGAGAAUCUUGCAAGAUCUUUUUGUUACAAAUUAUUUUUAAUCAAAGACUGUAAACAUGCAAUCAAUUUCUGCCCUUUCAUGGAAACACGGAGCCAUAGAAUAUCUCAAGUUGGAGGAGAUCCAACAGGAUCACCAAGUCCAUUUCCAUAAGGGACCACCCAAAAAUCAGAAUAUAUGAUUGAGAUCGUUGUCCAGCUUGGGGCUGUGAACACUGCCCUGGGAAACCUGUUCCAUUAAUGACCAUCCUCAGUUGAAGAACCUUUUCCUGAUGUCCAACUGACCCUCCCCUGCCACAACUCCAUGCCGUUCCCUUGGGUCCUGUUGUUGUCACCAGAGCAGAUAUCAGUGCUGGCUCUCUGCUCCCCUCAUGAGCUGUAGGCUGCCGUGAUGCCUCCUCUCAUCUUCCUCUGCUCUGGACUGAACAAACCAAAGGACCUCGGCUGUUCCGCAUACGUCUUGCCCUCUAGACCCCUCUCAAUCAUCAUGCCCAAACCACACCCGGUGCUGGAGAUUACCUUGGUGAGAUAUGUGACACCUCAAUUUUUGAAGCUUAUGAUCAACUUCUACUCCUGGUGCUGAAGUUUGCAUGUACACAGAGAAUGAAGUGCCUGCUUCUCCCUCCAGAGGCACAGAGCAGGUUGCACCUGGCUCUCAGUCAACAUUCCAGUGGAAUUGUCACCUUGGAUUGUGUUCCCAUGCACUUAUUACAGGGCAUUAAGGAAGGAGUAUCUGCAGUCUUCUAGAGCAAGCAAGCGGAAAGAGAAGCACAAGGUCAGGACUCAUCGUUUACAUCCUAAAACCUUCCUCUUUUAGUAUCUCUCUGCUUCUACUUAGGUUUCCAUUUUCAGUCUUCAGGUCUGUUCCUCAGUAAAAAGUGUAUGGUAAUAAUAAUAAUAGGUUUUUCAAUGUAAUACAUAGACAGCAACCAGAACAGGAUAACAUGUAUGUGUUUUUCUUAACACUUUUA
ensembl:lncRNA